rnacentral:rRNA from 1 species
AUAGCGGAGGGGCCACACCCGUUCCCAUCUCGAACACGGCAGUUAAGCCCUCCAGCGCCGAUGGUACUUGGACCGCAGGGUCCUGGGAGAGUAGGUCGUCGCCGGAU